rnacentral:lncRNA from 1 species
CAAACCACCUCACGAUUUUUCAGGAAGCCAGGGCGAGGAACUUGGAUUCCAAAGCCUAGAGAAAGAUGUACUGAUAGGCUCCCCCCACUGCAGCUGUUUUGUUCUUCAAAUAUAUUAUCACUUUUUAAACGGAUGGUAAAGGAAAAAAAUGCAUUCAUUUUUUCAGCCUAAGGAGACUGCAGGAAAAAGCAGUUCUGCUGCUGAGGUACAACGUAGC